GUGAAUCAUCAAAUUUUUGAACGCAAAUUGCGCUUCCUGGCAUCCCGGGAAGUAUGCCUGUUUGAGUGUCAGUAUUAAUAAAAAAUCGGUUUAGUUACAAAUUGUGACGUUUCCUGGGUUGGUGCUAUCUUAACAUUUUUGGUUAAGAGGCUUAAAAUUGCCCUUUUUUUCGCUUUUUUAAACGUACAUAAAUUUUUUUAUUCGUCUAUUCUUCAUUCCAAAAUCUUAUUAGUUCCGAUCACAUAGUGUUGCUCUGUGUCCAUAACAUUUUCAUGA
rnacentral:misc_RNA from 1 species